UAGUGUUGAUAAACGGUUCGUUGCUUAUAUUGUCUAUAAGUAGUUUAAUGGUUGAUUUUUCUUCGUCUUCUUGAUCCAUAAAUGGUCUUUUAUAUUUCCAUUUAAUGGAAAAAAGAGAAUCUUCUUUAUGGUUGUAAAUUGUAAGCAAUUUGGAUUGUUAUUAGAUCCAAAUCGACCUCGCAUAUGUCCAAAGAAUAAUUCAAUUGCAUCUUGGCUGAAUUUAUAACAAAUCCGAUGAUAAAAGUUUUUCUCUGGCUUUUCCACAAAGGCACUCCAUCAAUAGUUUUUAGUUGUUUAAAACCCUUCCCAUAUGGAGUUCUUGAAUUUAAGAAGUCAAAAAUAUCAUCAAUAAUUCUAAUAAAUUGAAUUCUA